UACGUAGGUGGCGAGCGUUAUCCAGAAUUACUGGGCGUAAAGGGUGCGCAGGCGGCCUGUUAAGUUUAAGGUGAAAGCGUGGGGCUUAACCCCAUAAAGCCUUAGAUACUGGCAGGCUAGAGUACUGGAGAGGGAAGUGGAAUUCCAUGUGUAGCGGUAAAAUGCGUAGAUAUAUGGAGGAACACCAGUGGCGAAGGCGGCUUCCUAGCCAGAAACUGACGCUCAGGCACGAAAGCGUGGGGAGC
rnacentral:rRNA from 1 species